UCCUGACGGUAGUCGUAUGCUCGUCUCCGAGACUAAGCCAUGCAAGUCCAAGUACACGUCCUUGAACGACGGAAACUGCGAACGGCUCAUUAAAUCAGUUGCGAUCUACUCGGCGUUCCGCGCCGCCGGAUAACCGUAGUAAUUCUAGGGCUAAUACGUGCGAAGCGCCCGAAGCCGCGAGGCGACGGGCGUUCUCGCCGGAUGUAGGAACCGACCCGGGGACCGCCGGGGCAACCCGGCGCCCCCGAGACGGGGCGAACCACGGUGAAAUGACGGAUCGUCGGCCCCGCGCCGGCGACUCGCCGAAUGAGUUUCUGACCUAUCAACUCGAGACGGCGGGGUAGAGGCCCGCCGCGGUAACGACGGGUAACGGGGAAUCAGGGUUCGAUUCCGGAGAGGGAGCCCGAGAAACGGCUACCACUUCCAAGGAAGGCAGCAGGCGCGCAACUUACCCUAAUCUCGAUUCGAG
rnacentral:rRNA from 1 species